rnacentral:rRNA from 1 species
ACCCGAAGCCGGUGAGCUAACAAGCAAUUGGAGCAGCCGUCUACGGUAGGGCCGAUGAUUGGGGUGAAGUCGUAACAAGGUAGCCGUAGGUGAACCUGCAGAAGGAUCA